UGGGGAAUAUUGGACAAUGGGGGCAACCCUGAUCCAGCGAUGCCGCGUGUGUGAAGAAGGCCUGCGGGUUGUAAAGCACUUUAGUAGGGAAGGAAAAGUAGAGCAAGAAUACGGUUCUACUGUGACGUUACCCUAAGAAUAAGCACCGGCAAACUCUGUGCCAGCAGCCGCGGUAAUACAGAGGGUGCAAGCGUUAAUCGGAAUCACUUGGGCGUAAAGGGUGCGUAGGUGGAUAAUUAAGUUUCGUGUGAAAUCCCUGGGCUCAACCUGGGAACUGCACGGGAUACUGGUUGUCUAGAGUACAGGAGAGGUGAGUGGAAUUUCCGGUGUAGCGGUGAAAUGCGUAGAGAUCGGAAGGAACACCUGUGGCGAAGGCGGCUCACUGGCCUGAUACUGACAC
rnacentral:rRNA from 1 species